rnacentral:rRNA from 1 species
UACAGAGGCCCCGAGCGUUGUUCGGAUUCAUUGGGCGUAAAGGGUGCGUAGGCGGCGUGGUAAGUUGAAGGUGAAAUCUCGGAGCUCAACUCCGAAACUGCCUUCAAUACUACUGUGCUUGAGGACUGUAGAGGAGAAUGGAAUUCACGGUGUAGCAGUGAAAUGCGUAGAUAUCGUGAGGAAGACCAGUGGCGAAGGCGAUUCUCUGGGCAGUUCCUGACGCUGAGGCACGAAAGCGUGGGGAGCGAACAGG